AAUCGCACUUGAAUCGGUUUAGUCGUCAGUGUAGUUUUUUUGUGCUUUUUUAGCCGAAAAAAAAGUUAAAAAAAUCUCGAGUUUCCCGGUUCUCGAGGUAGUUGAAUAAAUUUUCUUCGUACAUGGCAACAAUCGACCGGUUUAUUCCACGAAAACGGUGUUCGGCUUGUGUAUUUUGGUGAGGCGGCGGUGGCACUGGGAAUUGUGUCUGCGCGAGUCCGUCGAAAGCGAAAAAUGUGGUCAAUACGAAGCUAAUUCGUCGCAUCGUUUUCGUACCGACAAAAAACGUUAUGUUCCCGUACCGACGGAAAACCCGGUGUGAGAAGAUUUGGUUUGUGUUUCAGUGAGGUGGCGGUUGCGUGGAAGGUGUCCAUUGGAAGCAGAAAACACGGAGAAAAUGAAGCUGAUUCGGUUAAUCAUAACCGUUCACUACCGACGAUAAAUCCGAUGGAAGUUAAAAUUGUGAUAAUUCGUCCGGUUGAUUUCGCGAAAAACCGAGAGAAGAUACGGGAUUUGUCUCAUGUGUUACAGUGAGGCGGCGGUGGUAGUGACACCCCAACGGAUGCGAAAUAACAUGUGGACAAAACGAAGCUGAUUCGUCGUAUAAACCAUUCCCUACCGACGGAAAACCCAAUGGUUAGUUUGAAGUCAGAUAAAUGGCUAUCAACGGUUGCUAUUAGAAACCCUGGUUAAACCACAAAGGAAGUACUGUUUGAUAUGAUCAGCUAGUUGCAAUCAUUUCAUCCCACGAACUGUAAAAGCAACAGGAUGAGUUCACCGAUCUGAAGCAGCAACAUCAGUGGACCAUAGUUCCUGUUCAUCAUCCACGGAAGCGAAAAAAUCGCCAUUGCACUACGGUGACUCUCACAAGGAUUCGCAGGAGUUAGUAGAAGCAACAAUUUCAAUUUCAAUGGAGACGGAAGUGAAGCAAUGGCAACACCAAGCCUCCGCAUUUGGGACGUCAUGUCAGCACGAUCAAGUGUAACUCGUCGGCACGCCUUAAACCAAACGAUUAAUCCCGGACAUCCGGAGGACACCACACCAGCUUCAAAACGUCGAUCUCGAAACGAGACACUCUUUAAUACUACCCCCUCAGUGAUGGCACCUUCGAUCGCGAUGACACCAACUCUGCAUGGCACAUGGCAACAUCAAACCCAACUCCGACAGGAACCCAUCCUUGUUUUUUGCUCAAGUCAAGGACAACAGCGUCAAAUUUACCAUCAACCAACCCAAAGGGAGUAUACCUUUUAUGAAACCGGAAGUUUCGGCAAGCUCUCAGCUCAAGCUCAAGCCCUGAAUAGCAAACGGAAGCAAAAUUAUGAAACUGCUUUUUUAAAUCCAAGUACGGAACUCCUCCGAUGUAAAAGUCAUCUGUCCACCAAAUUAUCGAUAAAGCACUUGAGUUCGGCACUGGACCGCUGCUCAACCGAAUCGUCUCACUUCUCAAAAGUCAGGAACGUCACAUGCUGGUCAAAGUCAUCGAGCAAAUCCUGUAUAAGCAGGUGCACGUUUAUGGCGUUGGCCUUGGUGGAAUCUGGCGCACCGUACUGUAUCGAGUAAUUCGAUUUUGUAUGGCCAUUAGGUUUUUAAUACGAGGCUAGACUCUCAGUAUAUGUUGAUAUGGUAUGUGGAAACACGGCUCUUCACUGUGAAGCAGAUUUUGUCGCACAUAACGAGCCGGCCAUCAGCUCGGUGUCACAGCAGACUGUGGAUUUGAUUCGACUGCGGUUGACAAGAAUCGGUAACGGUGGAACGAUUGACAUCGGUAGAGCCCUGGAGACACGGUUGAUUUUGGAGAUGAGUUUAUGUUACCCACCAGCGGAGAGAGGCCGAUAGGUUUUCAUUUUGUUUUUCACUAAGGCUAAGGAGGACUUUUUUUCCACAUUUCCCACCGCUCUAUUGAAUGUGGCUGUAAAAAAUUAGGAGACUGAAACCCCCCUACUAGAAAGUCCAAAACAGACCUAAUUUUUGCACGCAAUUGCGCACAAUUUCCAUUGUUAUUUCUGUAUGGAAUUAAUACAAAUCAAUUUCCACUUUUCGUAAGACGAGUUCCUACUAUCCUAUUUAAUUCCACCGCGAAGACAUUCCACUAAAAGUUCAGUUUUGUUAAUUUUAUGCUUACUUUUUCAAGCAUACUCAUUUGUUAAACAAAAUUAAUCACUUCAUUUUUGGAAUAAGGUAAAUAAACCCAAAAAUACAAACAAGACUAAUCAGACAAUUAUAAGUCAAAUAAGACAAACAAGACAAGUAAGGCAAAUAAUACAAAGAAGACAAAAGAGACAAGUAAGACAAUUGAAACAUGUAAGCUAAAUAAUACAUGAGACAAGUAAGCCAAAUAAGUCAAUUAAGCAAAAUAGGACAAAUAAACCAAAAUAGACAAACGAGACUAACGAGACAAAGUAAGCCAAAUAAGACAAAUGAGACAAUUAAGAGAAAUAAGACGAAAAUAAGACAAACUAGAAAAGUAACCUGUCGAGUCGAGUCAAGUACGAGACACUGAAGACGGCCUUACUAUUGAGGUCGAAAUACGUAUCUGUCAAGAUACAAUUAAGUGGUGGAAUUCAAUGGGAUUGUAUAAACUCGUCUUAUGACAGGUGAAAACAUUCCACUAAAAAGCUCAAAAUAAUUUUCUUAUAGAAAAGUAAGCCAAAUAAGACAAACAAGACAAUUAGCAAUAUAAGACAAAUAUGCCAUAUAAGACAAAUGAGACUAGUAAAGUAAGCCAAAUAAAUGAAUAAAUGAAGAAGGAAGAAGAAAAACGGAAGAGGGAAGAAAUAAAAAGAAAGAUGGAAUAAAUAAUAAGGAAGAAUGGAGAAGAAAGAAGGAAAAAUAAGGAAGGAAGAAGUAAAUAGAAAGAAGAACGAAGGAAAAAGGAAGAAUAGUAAAGGGAGAAGGAAAAAGGAAGACGGAAUACGGAAUAAAGAAUAAAGAAUAAAGAACAAGGAAUAAGGAGCAACGAAGAAGGAAGAAUGAAGAAGGAUCAAGAAAGAAAGAAAAUAGAAGAAUGAAGAAGAGAUAAAGAAGAAGGAAGAAGAAAGAUUGUAGAAAGAUGAGGGAAGAAAGAGAAGGAAAAAAGAAAAGAAAAAAAAAGAAUGGAGAAAGAUGGAAAAAUAAAGAAUUAAAGUAAGAAGAAGGAAGAAAGUAGAGCGAAUAAGAAAGAAGAAAUAGCGGAGAACAAAGAAGGGAGAAGAAAGAAGGAAGAAGCAAGAAUGAAGAAGGAAGAAUGACCAAUGACCGGUCGGCCUAAUGGUCUGACACCAAUAAGACAAGUAAGUCAGAAGUCAAACAAGACAAUUAAAAUAAAUAAGACAAAUAAAUCAAAUAAGACAAAUAAACCAAAAUAUACAAACGUGACUUAUGAGACAAGUAAGCCAAAUAAGACAAACACGACAAUUAAGCGAAAUAAGACAAAAAAGACAAAUGAGGCAAAUAAGCCAAAUAAAGAAAAACAAGACAAUUAAGCGAAAUAAGACAAACAAGACUAUUAGGCUAAGGGCCAAUUUCUUCACCUCCGCGGUGCUUACCCAUACGCUUAAACCUGGUUUAAGAACUAAGCGGAGGUGAAGAAAUCGGCUCUAAAUAUGACAAAUAAACCAAAAUAGACCAACGAGAUUAAUGAGACAAGUAAGCCAAAUAAGACCAACAAGACAAGUAAACCAUCUAAUACUAAGGACACACCUGUGGUACUUGUACCAUGGUACAAGAGGACAAGAAAAUUAUUUCAAGACUAUCUUUGAUGAAGACAAUAAUCGGUACGUUACUCAUUUCAAGAUUCUUAUAUCAUGGUACUUAUACCACCAGUGUGUCAUUAUAUAAGAUGAGUUUAAUACUUUCCAUUAAAUUCCA